UACGGAGGAUGCGAGCGUUAUCCGGAUUUAUUGGGCGUAAAGGGAACGCAGGCGGUCUUUUAAGUCUGAUGUGAAAGCCUUCGGCUUAACCGGAGUAGUGCAUUGGAAACUGGGAGACUUGAGUGCAGAAGAGGAGAGUGGAACUCCAUGUGUAGCGGUGAAAUGCGUAGAUAUUAGGAGGAACACCGGCGGCGAAGGCGGCCUGCUGGACCGUGACUGACGUUGAGGCUCGAAAGCGUGGGGAGCAAACAGG
rnacentral:rRNA from 1 species